rnacentral:rRNA from 1 species
AUACGUAGGGGGCGAGCGUUGUCCGGAAUUAUUGGGCGUAAAGGGCGUGUAGACGGUCAUAUAAGUUACAGGUGAAAGCCCAUUUUUCAAGGAUGGAACUGCCUGUAAAACUGUAAGACUUGAGUGCAGGAGAGGGAAGCGGAAUUCCAAGUGUAGCGGUGAAAUGCGUAGAUAUUUGGAGGAACACCAGUGGCGAAGGCGGCGUUCUGGACUGCAACUGACGUUGAGGCGCGAAAGCGUGGGGAGCGAACAGGAUUAGAUACCCUGGUAGUCCACGCUGUAAACGAUGAAUACUAGGUGUAGGGGGUAUCGACUCCCUCUGUGCCGCAGUUAACACAUUAAGUAUUCCACCUGGGGAGUACGGCCGCAAGGUUGAAACUCAAAUGAAUUGACGGG